rnacentral:rRNA from 1 species
CACGUAGGGCGCAAGCGUUGUCCGGAAUUAUUGGGCGUAAAGAGCUCGUAGGCGGUCUGUUACGUCUGCUGUGAAAACCCAGGGCUUAACCCUGGGCUUGCAGUGGAUACGGGCAGACUAGAGGCAGGUAGGGGAGAAUGGAAUUCCCGGUGUAGCGGUGAAAUGCGUAGAUAUCGAGAGGAACACCUGCGGCGAAGGCGGGUUGCUGGGCUGACACUGACGCUGAUGCGCGAAAGCCAGGGGAGCGAACGGG